CGACGGCAUAAACUUGAACUUCAACAUGAAGCUGUGUCUGAAGAGCAACAAAAGCUGCAUGCCGAGUUGCCCGAGCAAACUCCGCAGACGGAGAUCUGGACGGCGUCUGUUUGAAGACAAGAAACCAGCCCAAGUCUCCAUGUCCUGGACUUAGGUUGUUUCCAUCUUGGAGUGACUGACCGGCCGUCGACCUUCAGAAUGAUUCGCCCCAUAUCUACAGUCUCUUCAUGUGAGCUCCAUUAUCACUGGUGUGAAGUCGUGAUAAAACAACCAC